GACGAACGCUGGCGGCGUGCUUAACACAUGCAAGUCGAACGAUGAAGCCUUCGGGUGGAUUAGUGGCGAACGGGUGAGUAACACGUGGGUGAUCUGCCCUGCACUUUGGGAUAAGCCUGGGAAACUGGGUCUAAUACCGAAUAUGGUCAUGCUCUUCAUGGGGUGUGGUGGAAAGCUUUUGCGGUGUGGGAUGGGCCCGCGGCCUAUCAGCUUGUUGGUGGGGUAAUGGCCUACCAAGGCGACGACGGGUAGCCGGCCUGAGAGGGUGACCGGCCACACUGGGACUGAGAUACGGCCCAGACUCCUACGGGAGGCAGCAGUGGGGAAUAUUGCACAGUGGGCGCAAGCCUGAUGCAGCGACGCCGCGUGAGGGAUGACGGCCUUCGGGUUGUAAACCUCUUUCAGCAGGGACGAAGCGCAAGUGACGGUACCUGCAGAAGAAGGACCGGCCAACUACGUGCCAGCAGCCGCGGUAA
rnacentral:rRNA from 1 species